ACGCUCGACACCUACGGGGGCAGCAGUGGGGAAUAUUGCACAAUGGGGGAAACCCUGAUGCAGCAACGCCGCGUGAAGGAAGACGGUUUUCGGAUUGUAAACUUCUGUUCUUAGUGAAGAUAGUGACGGUAGCUAAGGAGCAAGCCACGGCUAACUACGUGCCAGAAGCCGCGGUAAUCUGAGCGGGCUGGCAAGGC
rnacentral:rRNA from 1 species